rnacentral:snoRNA from 1 species
AAUCCAUGCAUCAAACAUUUUUGAAGUAAUUCUUUAAAUAAUUCCCAAGCUUCAUAUAAUGUUUCAUCCUCUAACUGCCGAAAAGAUUUGAUGUCAUUUCUAAGCUU